rnacentral:sRNA from 1 species
AUUAAAAAACAUUUAAAUGUAAUAUUUAGAUUAGAAUCAAAACAUAUACUGCUAGGCACAGUGUGGUGCAUGCCUGUAGUCCCAGAUGUUUGUACUAAGUUUGGCAUCAAUCUGGUGACCUUUUGGGAGCAGGAGACCACCAGGUUGCUUAAGGAGGGAUAAACCAACCCAGGCUGGAAAUGGAGUGAGUCAAAACUUCUAUGCUGAUCAGUGGUGAGAUCAUGCCUGUGAAUAGCCACUGUAUUUUAGCCUGGGUAACAUAGUGAAUCACUGUCUCUAU